rnacentral:lncRNA from 1 species
UAAUUUAUAGUUCCCAGUGGGUAAUUAUUGACCUUAGCAAAAUGCACCACUCGGCCCAAAAUAAGGUAAACAUGAUAAGGAACAAUAAUAAACUGCUGGUAUGAAAGCAUGUAUAAAAUGCUAAACUAUUAUUCUGCAAGAUAACAUGAUGUACAUCUAUUCUAUCAUGGAGAGGUAUGUUCAAUACAUAGCUUGUAUGUUCUAUCAUGGCAACAAGUAUGCUACUAUGCAACGAUCAAUACUAACAAAUAUACUAUAUAUCCAAAUGUCCAAAACUAUGCUACAAGCAUGUCCAAGUAAUCUAACUACUGAAAUCUAUCUAGUAGUGAUUGUCAAAUACCCGAUCGAUAUCAUUAUCCAAUUUUAAUCUAGGAUCUACACAAGUGUAGUCCGGCUUGUGCCGCCUAAGUGCCGUGGUAGCCCCAACAUUCCCCCUUGAGGAAUGAGUCUAUCCCACUCGGCCCCGUAGGCUCCCCAAUACCGCACGAACGAGCAUAAGUCGCGUAGGCUAACUCCGAAGUACCGGCUUCUAGGGAGCGACCCUCACAAGCAUGUGCGAAUGAGCACAAAUGGCAAGCAAGCGUAGUCAUCGUCUCAAGUACCCAAUCAUCAUGUCUCUAACAUGGUAAAAGCCACUAGCAACCCAACGGUCUAGUUCUAUGUCUCAAUGUGAAGUUCCAACAUUCACUAAGUCUAGUGCCUUUUUAUGAUACUAGCACGUUGCUGUACCCAAGCUUAUUCCAAAUUCCAUGCCUCUUCGUGGCAUUGUUUACUAGGUUCACACAUAACCCAAGCUCAAUGUCGCUUUAUGACAUUAGCUCACUAAUUCACAUAUCAUUCUAGUCUAAUGCCUCUUUAUGGCAUUUUACUUGCUCUUAUGUCCAACAUGAGAAUUAUAUCCAAUAGUACAUUACACUUAUCAUUUUCACUAUAUGAAACAUGAUCUCGAGUCACAUCUAGAAUGCUAGUCACAUUCAUAAGCCCAACCUGAAAAUCCUCUACUACAUAGGGGUCCAAAUAUACAUUGUAUAUAAUAUAUGCAUUCUAAGCAUUCUAAAAUUCACAAAUAAUGCAUCUAACACAAAUAUGCAUGAAAUUUCACUUUACGACGAGUAAAACCACCAUAGAGGGAAUUUUAUCCCAUUUUGAUGAGGCCAAACCCACCUAGAGCUCCUCGGAACCCUUCGUUCGCAUAAAAGGAGAUGACCACUAGCCUCCUAGCUCCCUAAAGAAAAUCCUUAAGGAGUUAAACACAAGGUACGAUCACACAAUGAAGAGAACAUAACCAACCCAAGAAAAGGGCUAAAACUUACCUAGAUUGGUGAAAGUCUCUCUCAAACUCCCAAUGAGAGUAAGAUCUCUUCAAAUCCAACCUAAACAAAGGUUCUAACUCAAUCAAUUGAGUUCCAAAAACUUCUAAUCCAAAAAUCCUCAAUAUAACCCUAAAUUUUCAUUUCUAGGGUUUCAUCUCAAAAAAUCUACUAAAUUAUGGAUCAAAAGGAGAAAACAAGUUUCUAACCGAUUAAGAAGCUCCAAACUAGGCUCCAAACCAACUAGGGUUGAAGAUUUCCUCUCAAACAAGCUACUCUCCAACCUCCAAGCCUUCAACAAUGGUGGAAUUUGCACUAAGAAGAAAAGAGAAGAGUUAAACCACAAAAAUCCAAGAGAAAUGGAGAUAAAAUCCAUAGACAGGAAGUGAGAAGCUCCCCUACCUCAAUCUCCUGUGUUCCCAGCUCAGGGAAAGCCCUAGGGGGUGUAGGGAUAUAAGUAGAGAAGCAACAAUGUAAAUACACCCCUGCAGAUCUGCCAGUUUGCAGUCUGGCAAAGUGUACCGGUACACGGGAAAGUGUACCGAUACAAAUCCCCCGAACACACAAACUGGAGCCUCGGUUUGGCAGAAAAUCAUAUUUGUACCGGUACAACCAUCAAGGUGUACCGGUACAAAACCUGUUCCGAUACAACUAUCAAGGCUGUACCGGUACACAGCCCUGCAAGGUGCAACCCAAGAGCAGCCUAAGUCCUCCAUUUUGGUGACCUUAGCGCUACUUUAAAUACCUCAAUUCUCGGGAUAUGAGCCAUAGGUCGGAACACUAUCAACGACCCUCCAGAAUAUCUGAAAAAACUCGGAACACUGAUCAAACACUCGAACCCCGCAAUUUGCAAAGGUCCAAUGUGUUACAAAAGUUGUAAUAGCUAGAACUAUCUCUCUCUUGUUCACUUGUAUAUGUACUUGUGAUUCUUGCUCUUGCUUGUAUCGCACUUGUGGUGUUUCAUGUAUGUUGUAUGUCAUCCCGGGCGACAAAAAUGUACAUGACUUUGUUGUUGAGCCUUGGGUGGACAGAGGAGGUGCUGUCCGUUCGGCGUCUGUUCGACGUGCCCGAACCGACCAAACUGGCGGUUGCGAGGCGUGACAAGCGCGGCCGCGCGAGAAAAGGGCGUAGCUCCGUAGAUAGCACCCUACCCCGAGACCAGAGAUAGUGGUACCCCGAAGUGGUCUAGCUUAGGGGGUUAGAGAUGAAAGAACAAACUUGUAAUAAUUUGUAAUAGAUGAUUGUAUUUGGAAGUUAAAUAUGAAAGAAAAUGUAAUAUGUAAAACCUGGGACGAAUACUUGUAAUAGCAUAACUGUAUUUAUGUUUUUGAUACUUCCUUAUGCAAUCUUUGCUUGAUUAUUGUUCCUGGUUGGGACCUCGUGCAUUAUAUGGAUUGUGACGCCUAGGACGUACAGGGGAGACUCUGUCCGUUCGUCGGUCUGUUGGCGUGCCCGAAUCCGACCAAAUAGCCGGGUGUCGGGACGUGACAGAUAAAGUAGUAUCAGAGCAUAAAGAGAACAAUAGAAAAUUGUUUAUACGGACCUAAGAGACCCUAGGAUAAUAAACCAUAGAGGUUAAGGCUCGUGAGAGACAAGGACUUGAGACUUGUGGCGAAAGAUGAACUGAUUGGGUUAUGUUGUAAACCUCUAAAACGGAUGUUAGAGGUAGACUCGAGGUGUGGUUUAUUCUCAACCGAGGGUAUUCAUGUUGGAUGCAUACAACAUGAAACCGAGUGAUGAGAAUAGACGCCCUUGUGUGACUUUCGCCUAAUUUGAGUCGGUAUUAGUUGUUUCGUACUCAACCUCGAGGGUCGAGAGUUGUCUGGGUUGUCCUGUUUCAGGAAGCGAUGGCACCGCGUAGGCGAUCUUCAUCUAGAUCGGCGCGGGAUGGGACAAGUGGUGUCCCUGAGCAGUCUGAGGCGAGGGGGGACUUGGAACUUCGAGAGCAGUUGACCACUCUCGUGGGAGUGGCGAGGCAACAAACCGAUUUGGUACAGCGACAGCAGGAGGCUGCCAUGCGCCAGGAGGAGUGAGUAAAGAGACUCUAGGAAACGGUGGAUCAGCUGGUGACCGCACCAGUUGCGGCCCAUUGAGUACUGCCAGGAGUCGCGGUGGAGGUGUUUGCGUCGGGGUCGGGCAAUCCGACUUCUAGUAUUUCAGAGGUGGAGGCGGAGAGGGAGCGAGCUUCGGCGGCCCUCAUGACCUUCAAAUAAUUUGAUCCUCUUACCUUUGAAGGAAAGAAUGCAAAUCCGUGGAUCAUGGAGGUGUGGAUUAACUCCAUGAAAACUCUUUUUGGGGAUCUGUACACUGUGGAGAGAGUCAAGGUACACCUAGCCGUACCUUGUCUGAAACAGUCGGUGAAGGUGUGGUGGAAAGGUGUCAAGCGGAACCGAUCGCCUAGUCUCCCUCCUAUGACUUGGGAAGAAUUUUGGGGAUUGAUAUUCUCUGCCUAUUUCCCCGACAGUGAAAGGAGAGAGCUUCAGGAGGAGUUCCGGAAGCUGCGGCAGGGAGACCUCACCGUGAGGGUGCAUGAGUGGGAAUUCUCCCGUAUCGUGAAUUGUGUCCCGAACGUGGUACGGGAUGACAAAGACCAAGCUGAUUGUUGGUACGGGGACUUCGGCCGGAGAUUUUCAAGGUUGUGCACAUUUUUAAGCUGCCAACUUUUGCCGAAGUCUUGGAUUGAGCAUUGUGAGCAGAACGAGGCAAUGCCUUCGCGUGUGAAGAGCGUGAAUCUCUUGGGCGAGAGAUGAGAGUAGUGCGAUUGAGGAGCAUUGCGGGCGGUCAAUCAAGCUCUAAGCGACCCCCGAGACAGUUGCAAUCGCAGUCUCAAACCCCAGAAGUGUCUUCUACUCAACUUUCUUCGGGAAGUAGGGUUGUAAGAGUUCUCCCCAGGCGCGGCGGUGUGCGCUGCGUGAUAGGAGAUGCAUUCCUUGUGGGCGGCCGGGCCGUGUGCUGGGUGAGUGCUCGCUGAGGGGUGACCGAUCAUUGGCAUUGGCGGCAGCCUUCUCCUCUCUGAGACAGCCUACGGUGUGUCACCUGCGGCAUGGUCUGGAGAGCGAGCGAUGAGGAGAAUGUGGCGACCGGAGGGUUCGCGACGGGCGUCGAAUGGCCAUGAGUGCACGACCCAGGUCGAGGAGCCUUGCAUGCAUUUAUCGUGUGCUCAUUUACUACUAACGAUGCAUCAGUGUAGUAGGGACCAAAUGGACGGGUAAGUGUAGAUACCCGGGCAUGCUUGCGUUGUGAGAGUGUAUCACCUGUGGAUGGCACUAGCGAAUUGCUGGUGAUGGCCUAUGGAUAAGAAGUAGGACUCAUCGUAGAGAUGGAAUUGGCGGACCAACUCUCAAAGCAAUAUGAGUAGUUGAUUGCGAGAGUUGAGCCGUGGUACUUGUGGAUCUCUUGAGAGUCCAGAAAUUUCGAAUAUUGUUCCGGUAGAUCGAACGGUGAAAGCGGAAUCACUGUUGAGAGAGUAACGGGUUGGAUGCCGAGUACGGGCACGUAGGCCUAGUAGUACCUCGAAUUGAGAUGGGUGAGUCAUGCUCGUGUGGCCGGUGUGCAUAGGCAAGGUUGCCUAAUGUGGACUUAGUGUGGGACGCUAUAGAAGCGUACAGCGCUCGAGUGUAGAUGCUCGUGGAGUGCGGAUUCGAUUCAGCCGAGAAAGUGAGUUGGCAGUAGCACUUCAGCAUUGCUAAGUGUGAAGCAGGCCAUGGAUCACUCGUAGAGCUGGUGGCUCGCACUAGGUGCUUAGGAGCCGAUAGUGGUACGUAUGGCUCGGUAGAGAGAAUGUCGUGUAGGAUGACGACGGCGGGCAUUGCUUGGGGAUGACCCGUGCCUGGAUCACUUGUAUACUGCAGAGCCUGGGGCCAUGUGGACAGGCGCAGUUGGCCGUGUAGAUCAGCGGCCCGGUACCUACGGGUAGGGCAGAGGUUUUGGUCAGGGCGAUAGUCCGAGCUUAGACCUCGGAGCGUAGAAUGCCACGUGUUGGAUCAUAUGAUCGAUGAUACACCGAGUGUGUAGUGACCCAACCCGAGGAUAUGACGUGGUUUGGGGUCAUGGUUGCUCCUGGUUGGAGUAUGUGCGAAUUCUCCAAUGAGAAUUUCGCCCAGUGAUAAUUGGGUCUACGUUGCGAGCGAGAGACGCUGCGCGUGAUCGAGACAGGUUUAGGCGGUAGGCCUACAUAGAGUUGGUGGCCGGUGAUCCACCCGUGGAAACCGAGGUGAGCAGUUUAGCCGAUAACUCUGUUGAGGAGUUUGGCUUGAAUUCACGAAUGGAGUGUUCGUGUAAGUUCGUUGUAGGAACGAAUUCGAGUUGGUCGUGGCAUAUGGUAUCGAAAGCUAAAGUGGUCUCUAAGAGACACUUGGAUAAUGGAUAGCCACGCAGAGAUUGAGAAUAAUGCUCUCUUGAGGAUUGAAAUUGGAGAUGUACCGAAGUGUGCCAUCUCGUGGUAGAGCAAAGAUCCGGUUGUGAUUAGAGCACUCGCGAUGGAGCGAUGCGCCCCUGAUAUUGCCUCUAAGCAAUGCCGGUGAUCGAAUAGGAGUGUGUUCCCUGAAGGGAUGAUGAAUGCAAGAAAGAGUUGUAUUUAGAGAUGUCAACGGGUCGGAUUCGGGGCGGAUUUUUAAAAAUCCGAACCUGAACCCGACUCAAAACCCGAGACCCGAACCCGAACUCGAACCCGACGGAUUUUAAAAAUCCAUAUCCAAACUCGAACCUGACCAAAAAUCUGGAACCCGAACCCGAACCCAAAAAUUUGAACCCGAAAUAGUUAUUUCUUUUUUCAACAUUUCAAAAUAUAUUAUAUUAAAUCUAAAUUUUUAAAAUAUAAAUUCAAAUAUAACAUCAAAUUUAAAUAUAUAUAUAUAUAUAUAUAUAUAUAUAUANNNNNUUCAAUAUUUCAAAAUAUAUUAUAUUAAAUCUAAAUUUUUAAAAUACAAAUUUAAAUAUAAUAAUAUAUAUAUAUAUAUAUUAUAAUACAAAAUAAAUUCGGGUUCGGGUUCUGGUCGGGUACAAUCAAAAUCCAUAUCCGAAUCCAUAUCCGUCGGGUUUCUAUUUUUUAUAUCCAUAUCCGAAUCCAUAUCCAUAUCCAUCGGAUAUAUCCGUUUCAUUCGGGUUUGGGUUCGGAUAAAAUUUCGGGUAUCCAUACCCAUUGACAUCCCUAGUUGUAUUAAACUCUUGGAUAGCCAAAGUGGUAGAAUGCCACUUUGUGAACGCUUGAGUGAUUCGAGAAGGCCUACCCGUGUGCAUUGUGUAGCGGUGGUGGAUCGUUUGGCUAGUUGAUGCAUUUUGGCAUAUCCACACCAUGAGGAUAAGGGGUAGUACUGAUCUCGAAGGAAAGUGGGAUCCAGUAGAGUGUGGAAGGACGAGUCCUUCGUUUGCUAGUUAGUGAGUGGUGUUCGAGCGUGUAGAGUCGUCGAGUGUCGACUUACGCUGCCACCGAGACUUGCGAAGCCGUAAUGCACUUUCGGUGUUGCGCUUAGCAAAUGUGAGUGAGUUUGGUCUCACAUCUUCCGUAGUGGGCCUUUGAACAGUUCCGAUGAGUGUAAGGCCACUCCGGAGUGGGAAAGUGCAUUGGUACCCUGAGUUGCUCGAUAACUCGAAUUAAGGAGUGAUUUGAGUUUCGAGGAAGAAACUCCUUUUAAGGAGAGGAGGGUGUAGCAUACCGAACUUCUAUAAUUAUGAAAUUACGAUAUAUGUUGGUUUGGAAAAUCAUUAGAGUGGUUCUGGUGAAGUUCGGAAGCAUUCGGGUGUUUUCGGUACCCGUCGGCCGCGAAAACGAAACCCGAAAAGCUAUGAUUGGACCUUGGCCGAAAUCUGGUAAGGCGUGGAUGGAAAGAUGGUUUAAACGCGCUCAAAAACAUGCGUGGGGGGUCUCGGUGCGAUUUGAGGCUAAUCGGAGACCUACGGAGCGAAAACGAGCGAAAACGGAGAAGAAAGGGCAAAAGGCUGAAAUUUUGGCUAAGUCUGGAAAGUGCAGUUUUUCUGGACCUAGGGGGUCCGAACCCCGAGGGCCAAGGUCCAGACCCUGAGCCCGAAAACAGCCCAGAAACAGCGGGGGGCUGAUUGUAAUUGUGGGAGAGUUGCUUUUAUAAAGGGGCCUUAACCCCUUUCUUCUUCUUCCUCAGCGAAACACCACACACCCACACAUAUGUAGAGAGAGAAACACCUCUCCCUCUCUCUAGAAUACUCUCUACUCUCUAUAGAUCUCUCUCCCAAACUUUGGGAUUUGGUGGAGAAGAACCUUGGGAACGCAUUGAGAGAGGCACCGACCUUAUCGAGAGAGGCAUCGAGUAGAUGUAUGCCCGUAGAUUUGCUGGAGCUGGAUGUGACGACUAAGAUGAUUGCCGCAUGUAGCAUGUUAUGUAAUGCUAUUUGAAUUUCAUCUUGUUUGAGAUGAUUGCAUCAUUUGCAUCCUUUGAUCGGCCAUUCACUGAGUUGAUUAGCAUUGAUUCUUUUCUCGAUGCAUGUAGGAUGAUUGGAUGAUCGGUGUGUCGUUUGGAACACCCUGCCUAGUGAGAGGGUUUUGUGUGCUAACAAAAUGGGUUGGCCCUACUUGCAAUGGAGUGGUUGUGAGGUACCUUGUACCCUUGGUCGUGCGAGCUAAAUUGACUCACUUUGAGAACUUGAGCACGAAGUAGUGCAUCUUGAGGGUCUGAUCUUGCUGGUUACGAUGACCGUCUCCUUACCAAAAUCAGGUAUUCUAUUGGAGGGGAUUUGGGGCCUAAUUGGCUGAUAACCUUUUAUGAUUGAGAAUCCUCGGAAUGAAGGAUAUCUUGUGGAGUUGUUGUUGUACUCCCGGCUAAGUCACAAAUUGUAAGCUCGAUUAGCAGAGAGGCUUUUGUGCCUAGUGUUUUACUUUGUGGAAAAGCAAUCUCACUUGUUGUGAGACUGGUGGGGUCAUUUCGACUAUGUGUCGCCUAUCGUGAUCUCAAUUGAAACACGACUAAGUAUCUGGACCCGUUGCUGAGACCCGUCGCCUAUCGUGUACUCAAUAGAUUGAAUUGCAAUCUGAGUAUUACUGUUUUGUGCUGGAGUUUAAGGUUGUACCUUAAACGGGUUUUGAUGUUGGGCUGGGACAUCACAAACUUAUUGUGAUGCCACCUAAGCUUUUAGUACUCCACCAGUUCUAGAGGCUUGCUGAAUGAUAAUUCCAAGCCCUUCUAGAUAGAUUUGUAGAAUCGGUUGUUGAUGGCCGUGAAGUACCCUGAUGAAGGAUUCGGAUUUGUAGCCUUCUUUGGCUUGGAAUGUCAAAAAGGGGAAUCAUCCAGCGACCCCUUGAGGAUUUGUGACGGAUGACUGCGUAGGUAGGCAGAUUGAUGCGAUUGAGGUGUGAGACUCUCACUAUUUGAUUGAGUGGUUUGGAAAACUCUAAGAGGGAAACUACCAAGUUUUCUAUUUUCCCUUUUUCGGGUUAUGCACAAGAGAAUUAAGUUCGUUGGAUAGAACUGCACAAGAGCUUAUGGAAUUGAUGUUUUAGUCAUCUCAGGAUGAACCCCGUAUACUUCAGAAACGAAUAGUGAUGCUUUGGUUGCGGUUUAGAACGGGAAAUUUGAUUGAACCCUUCCUUGAUUAUGGAAGUAUAUAUAUGAUGACAACGAUAGAGAGCUUAUUAACAAAGUAUGAAUUGAUCCCUCUCUAUCGCUUGAGCUGAGUUCGGUGACGACGGACACCUUGAGUAUCAAAUACUAAGAAAGGUAUUGAGGAUAAGAAUUUCGAUUGGUAUCAAGAGUAUUGAAACUGAGGAAAUGACCUUAGUGGAAUUUGUGAAGCUUUUGAGCAUCGACCCCCAACAACAUUUAUAGAUGUGAAAUCGAGAUUACCGCCGUAGUUGUGAAAUUGGAGAUGAUAUGGAGGCAUCGUGAUACAAUGCUGAAUGAUGAAUCAAGCGAUCACCUCUGGUGAGCUAGUUUGGAUGAUUCGUCGGCUUCCGUUACUAUCGGAAGGAAAUUUACCAUGGAUGUUGAUUUUGGAUUGAUCGUUGUCAACUCGACCUGAAUGGUGAAAUAUGCGAAUAGAAGCAUUAUGGAAGAAAAUUACACCAUGCUUGAUUGUGGAAUAAAAUUGCACUCAAUUGUGCAAUUUCUUGAUGAAUUUUGACCCUUGGGUUUGGAGGAUCAUUGUAGGGAUUUGGGUCGACGAUUGGAUUUUUACAUCGCCUCAUAUCGGUAAAUGAGAAUUGUGUUGAGCGCCCCAGUUGGAAAUUAGAGGGAUGUGUAUCGGGUGUAACCCCUGGAUUCUCCCGAUGGAUGAUACCGUUUGAAUCCUCCUCAGAAGGAUAUAUGAUUGAAAUUCCAUUCAUAAGAGCAAGAUGAGAAGAGCUAGACUUCGCUCUUGGCUUCCUUGAGGAAUUGGAAAUGGAAUUUAGCCCUGGGAGGCAAUGGAUUUCUCGUGGAUGAGUGAGGAACUCGUUGAGCGAGCACCGAUUAGAAAUGGAACUUUCCUAUGAGGACUUGAGUUCAUGGAACAUUGGUGGAAGGUUUGGUUUGCGAUGUGCUGAAUCUUCGGAAUUGUGGAUUUCCCUGUGUGAAGAUGCCUUGGAGUAAUCCGGCAUGCUCGAGACCUUUGGGAUAUGUUCUGUGCACUGUUAGAGCGCUUCUUUCAUCCUUUUCGGAUGGAUUUGUAGUGUGGUUGAUUUGUAGUUUCACGGACGAAACUCCUUUUUAGGAGGGGAGAAUAUAACACACUGAACUUUAGCAAAUUGUGAGGUUCCAGUGUUAGAAUAGCAUUUUGGGUUAUUCCGGAUGUUUAAAAUUUAAAAUUUAAAAUCUAUGUUGAAAUUUAAAAGUUAGAACUUGAUGCAUCUUUGCCCAAGAAUGGUGGAAUUCUUUUUCUUUGGUUAGAGUGGAUUAUAUUUUUACUCCAUUUUUUGGAGUGUAGUUUAAUUAUAGGCCAAUUUGCAUAAAAAAUCCACUUAUUUUGGGCUUUUGCAAAACCGGGCCACCUUUUUCGUUUUUGCAAAUUCGGUCCGCUUUUUCAGCAAACUGACCAAAAUACCCUUAUUACUUUUUCUCUUUCCUCUUUCUCUUUUCUCUUUGUUCUCCCGUUCUUUUUUUUUUUCGCCGAAAAAAAAAAAGCGACGGCCGGAGCACCGCCAGGCGGGCUCUUCUUCUUCUUCUUUUUCCUACAGGAGCAAUUUUUUUUUCUCUUUUUCUUUUUCUUCUUCUUCUUCCUCCUGCUGGAGCUUUUUUUUUUUUCCCUC